GGAGGAAAAGGAUAGGGCCUCUGGCCCCGGCUGUUCAAUUCGUUUCCCGGGUUUACAAAAACCGAAAUGACUAGUACUUGGUAUGAAUGCCCAAUGGUGUCUUUCAGCUGUUGGUUUCUAUCUCAGGUUUUCAUGCAAGAAGCACGGCGAUAACUGUCUUUUGUAGCCAUUGAGACAAUGCAAUUUGCAACAAUUUCAGUAUGGGUAUCGAGUAAAGUUACUAAUGAGAACAAUGGUAUACUGCAGGAGGUGGUCUUAAUGCAGGUAAAUCUUGUUAACAAAGAAAUUUGCAGUCCGUUGAUAAAGAGCUUUCUUACUUGAGCUCAUCGUAGCAUCUCCAGGUGCUGGAUUUCGAGAUUGGUGCAUCGAAUGUUACUGAUGUUUUCUUCGAGGACUUUCUAACCCGGUUGAGGGGACUGCUGCGGGUAGAGAGCUUAUAAAGCGCGAAGCAUGUGUUGAUAUAAUGGAUCUUCUAUAUGAAACAGAAGUGACAUCAGUUCUGUACAAUUCUCCCCAUUUUCUUGCUGCAGCUAUUCUGGCAUGUCUCUUUCUCAUC